rnacentral:rRNA from 1 species
AGUGAACGCUGGCGGUAGGCCUAACACAUGCAAGUCGAACGGCAGCACAGUAAGAGCUUGCUCUUACGGGUGGCGAGUGGCGGACGGGUGAGGAAUACAUCGGAAUCUACUUUUUCGUGGGGGAUAACGUAGGGAAACUUACGCUAAUACCGCAUACGACCUACGGGUGAAAGCAGGGGAUCUUCGGACCUUGCGCGAUUGAAUGAGCCGAUGUCGGAUUAGCUAGUUGGCGGGGUAAAGGCCCACCAAGGCGACGAUCCGUAGCUGGUCUGAGAGGAUGAUCAGCCACACUGGAACUGGGACACGGUCCAGACUCCUACGGGAGGCAGCAGGGGGGAAUAUUGGACAAUGGGCGCAAGCCUGAUCCAGCCAUACCGCGUGGGUGAAGAAGGCCUUCGGGUUGUAAAGCCCUUUUGUUGGGAAAGAAAAGCAGCAGGUUAAUACCCCGCUGUUCUGACGGUACCCAAAGAAUAAGCACCGGCUAACUUCGUG